UACGGAGGGAGCUAGCGUUAUUCGGAAUUACUGGGCGUAAAGCGCACGUAGGCGGCUUUGUAAGUUAGAGGUGAAAGCCCAGGGCUUAACCCUGGAAUUGCCUUUAAGACUGCAUCGCUAGAAUCGUGGAGAGGUAAGUGGAAUUCCGAGUGUAGAGGUGAAAUUCGUAGAUAUUCGGAAGAACACCAGUGGCGAAGGCGACAUACUGGCUCAUUACUGACGCUGGAGGCUACGAAAAGCGUGGGGAGCAAACAGG
rnacentral:rRNA from 1 species